GUUUUGCUCUCUUCAACACAUAUACUAAAACUGAAAUGAUACAGAGAAGAUUAGCAUGGCCCCUAAACAAGAAUGACACGCAAAUUUGUGAAGCAUUCCAUAUAUUU
rnacentral:snRNA from 2 species